rnacentral:rRNA from 1 species
GCGGAGGAAAAGAAACUAACAAGGAUUCCCCUAGUAACGGCGAGUGAAGCGGGAUGAGCUCAAAUUUAAAAUCUGGCGGCCUCAGGUCGUCCGAGUUGUAGUCUAGAGAAUCGUUUUCCGCGUUGGCCUGUGUACAAGUCCCUUGGAACAGGGCGUCAUAGAGGGUGAGAAUCCCGUCCUUGACACAGAUUACCAAUGCUUUGUGAUGCGAUCUCGAAGAGUCGAGUUGUUUGGGAAUGCAGCUCAAAAUGGGUGGUAAAUUCCAUCUAAAGCUAAAUAUUGGCGAGAGACCGAUAGCGAACAAGUACCGUGAGGGAAAGAUGAAAAGCACUUUGGAAAGAGAGUUAAACAGUACGUGAAAUUGUUAAAAGGGAAACGAUUGAAGUCAGUCAUGCUUUCCGAGACUCAGCCGAUUCUGUCGGUGUACUUCUCGGUUGGCAGGCCAGCAUCAGUUUCGAUCUGUGGAAAAGGUUGGAGGGAACGUGGCAUCUCCGGAUGUGUUAUAGCCCUUCUUCGAAUACAUAGAGCGGGACUGAGGAACGCAGCGCGCCUUUUAUUAGGUUGGCCCUCGGGUACAUACGCGCUUAGGAUGCUGGCAUAAUGGCUUUAAACGACCCG